AUGCCCGCGAGGUCUUGCGCGAGAGGACAUGGUGGGUCCAUGAGGCAGGGGCAGCGCGGGGCCCCUCGCGGGGCCGGAGUGCAGCGUAGGUGAAGAUAGGCGGGGCUACCAGGAUGAACUUCUAACGGACCAAAGUCUGAAGGAUGACAUCUUCCUCGGAGGUAAUGGAAGAACUUGCUGAUGGACGGACCACACAGGACCUAUAGGAGAACUAUAAGAACUGCAGGAGAGGCACACACAAAAUGUAUUCCAGCACUGUCACAAAACUGCAGCAGAACCUCUGGGAUCUGAG